GUCGUCGGUAGCCUUCCCCCUUGCCCUUGCCCUGUUGUGCGCCGAUCGCCCCCUCUCCCCUCUCUCAGAGAAAUUGGAAGAGAGGGACCUCUUUCUUUGUGCCUCUAGCAUCUUGUUUUGCAAGGCGAUGGUUGAGGCCUCCCCGUUCUCUUCGC